GAUGAACGCUGGCGGCGUGCCUAAUACAUGCAAGUCGAGCGAACGGACGAGAAGCUUGCUUCUCUGAUGUUAGCGGCGGACGGGUGAGUAACACGUGGAUAACCUACCUAUAAGACUGGGAUAACUUCGGGAAACCGGAGCUAAUACCGGAUGAUAUUUUGAACUGCAUGGUUCAAAAGUGAAAGACGGUCUUGCUGUCACUUAUAGAUGGAUACGCGCUGCAUUAGCUAGUUGGUAAGGUAACGGCUUACCAAGGCAACGAUGCAUAGCCGACCUGAGAGGGUGAUCGGCCACACUGGAAGUGAGACACGGUCCAGACUCCUACGGGAGGCAGCAGUAGGGAAUCUUCCGCAAUGGGCGAAAGCCGGACGGAGCAACGCCGCGUGAGUGAUGAAGGUCUUCGGAUCGUAAAACUCUGUUAUUAGGGAAGAACAUAUGUGUAAGUAACUGUGCACAUCUUGACGGUACCUAAUCAGAAAGCCACGGCUAACUACGUG
rnacentral:rRNA from 1 species